GCCGGGCGACGGUUGUCCCGGUUUAAGCGUGUAGGUGUGUGUUCCAGGCAAAUCCGGUUCACUUUACACUGAGGCGUGACGACGAGGCACUACGGUGCUGAAGUGAUAAAUGCCCUGCUUCCAGGAAAAGCCUCUAAGCAUCAGGUAACACAAAAUCGUACCCCAAACCGACACAGGUGGUCAGGUAGAGAAUACCAAGGCGCUUGAGAGAACUCGGGUGAAGGAACUAGGCAAAAUGGUGCCGUAACUUCGGGAGAAGGCACGCUGGCACGUAGGUGGAGGGACUUGCUCCCCGAGCCGAAGCCAGUCGAAGAUACCAGCUGGCUGCAACUGUUUAUUAAAAACACAGCACUGUGCAAACACGAAAGUGGACGUAUACGGUGUGACGCCUGCCCGGUGCCGGAAGGUUAAUUGAUGGGGUUAUCCGUAAGGAGAAGCUCUUGAUCGAAGCCCCGGUAAACGGCGGCCGUAACUAUAACGGUCCUAAGGUAGCGAAAUUCCUUGUCGGGUAAGUUCCGACCUGCACGAAUGGCGUAAUGAUGGCCAGGCUGUCUCCACCCGAGACUCAGUGAAAUUGAACUCGCUGUGAAGAUGCAGUGUACCCGCGGCAAGACGGAAAGACCCCGUGAACCUUUACUACAGCUUGACACUGAACAUUGAGCCUUGAUGUGUAGGAUAGGUGGGAGGCUUUGAAGCGCGGACGCCAGUCCGCGUGGAGCCAACCUUGAAAUACCACCCUUUAAUGUUUGAUGUUCUAACGUGGCCCCGUAAUCCGGGGUGCGGACAGUGUCUGGUGGGUAGUUUGACUGGGGCGGUCUCCUCCUAAAGCGUAACGGAGGAGCACGAAGGUCAGCUAAUCACGGUCGGACAUCGUGAGGUUAGUGCAAUGGCAUAAGCUGGCUUGACUGCGAGAGUGACGGCUCGAGCAGGUGCGAAAGCAGGUCAUAGUGAUCCGGUGGUUCUGAAUGGAAGGGCCAUCGCUCAACGGAUAAAAGGUACUCCGGGGAUAACAGGCUGAUACCGCCCAAGAGUUCAUAUCGACGGCGGUGUUUGGCACCUCGAUGUCGGCUCAUCACAUCCUGGGGCUGAAGUAGGUCCCAAGGGUACGGCUGUUCGCCGUUUAAAGUGGUACGCGAGCUGGGUUUAGAACGUCGUGAGACAGUUCGGUCCCUAUCUGCCGUGGGCGCUGGAGAAUUGAGGGGGGUUGCUCCUAGUACGAGAGGACCGGAGUGAACGCACCACUGGUGUUCGGGUUGUCAUGCCAAUGGCAUUGCCCGGUAGCUAAGUGCGGAAAAGAUAAGUGCUGAAAGCAUCUAAGCACGAAACUUGCCCCGAGAUGAGUUCUCCCUGACCCUUUAAGGGUCCUGAAGGGACGUUGAAGACGACGACGUUGAUAGGCCGGAUGUGUAAGCGCAGCGAUGCGUUGAGCUAACCGGUACUAAUGACCCGUGAGGCUUAACCUUACAACGCCAGAGGCGUUU
rnacentral:rRNA from 1 species